AUUGAACGCUGGCGGCAUGCCUAACACAUGCAAGUCGAACGGUAACGACGGGAGCUUGCUCCCGGGCGACGAGUGGCGGACGGGUGAGUAAUACUUAGGAAUCUGCCCAGUAGUGGGGGACAACUCGAGGAAACUCGAGCUAAUACCGCAUACGCCCUACGGGGGAAAGUGGGGGAUCUUCGGACCUCACGCUAUUGGAUGAGCCCAAGUCGGAUUAGCUUGUUGGUGGGGUAAAAGCCUACCAAGGCGACGAUCCGUAGCUGGUCUGAGAGGACGAUCAGCCACACUGGGACUGAGACACGGCCCAGACUCCUACGGGAGGCAGCAGUGGGGAAUAUUGGACAAUGGGGGCAACCCUGAUCCAGCAAUGCCGCGUGUGUGAAGAAGGCCUGCGGGUUGUAAAGCACUUUCAGUAGAGAAGAAAAGCUCAGGGUUAAUACCCCUGAGUCUUGACGUAACCUACAGAAGAAGCACCGGCUAACUCCGUG
rnacentral:rRNA from 1 species